GAGGGUUUUGGUUGAAGAUGCAAAUGGUGGCUGUUUCCGUUUCUUAUGAGGUCUGCUUCAGUUGGUUCUUCUGCAGAGAUAAUUAAUUUUUGCCCAAGUUUUUUUUUGCUUUCUCUG